rnacentral:rRNA from 1 species
AUUGAACGCUGGCGGCAGGCCUAACACAUGCAAGUCGAACGGGAACAGGAAGCAGCUUGCUGCUUUGCUGACGAGUGGCGGACGGGUGAGUAAUGUCUGGGAAACUGCCCGAUGGAGGGGGAUAACUACUGGAAACGGUAGCUAAUACCGCAUAACGUCGCAAGACCAAAGAGGGGGCCCUUAGGGCCCCUGGCCAUAGGAUGUGCCCAGAUGGGAUCAGCUAGUAGGUGGGGUAACGGCUCACCUAGGCGACGCUCCCUAGCUGGUCUGAGAGGAUGACCAGCCACACUGGAACUGAGACACGGUCCAGACUCCUGCGGGAGGCAGCAGUGGGGAAUAUUGCACGAUGGGCGCAAGCGUGAUGCAGCCAUGCCGCGUGUAUGAUGAAGGCCUUCGGGUUGUAAAGUACUGUCAGCGGGGAGGAAGGGAGUAAAGUUAAUACCGUUGCUCAUUGACGUUACCCGCAGAAGAAGCACCGGCUAACUCCGUG